AACGAACGCUGGCGGCAUGCCUAACACAUGCAAGUCGAACGAGACCUUCGGGUCUAGUUGCGCACGGGUGCGUAACGCGUGGGAACCUGCCCUUAGGUUCGGAAUAACUCCCCGAAAGGGGUGCUAAUACCGGAUAAUGUCUUCGGACCAAAGAUUUAUCGCCUUUGGAUGGGCCCGCGUUGGAUUAGCUAGUUGGUAGGGUAAAAGCCUACCAAGGCGACGAUCCAUAGCUGGUCUGAGAGGAUGAUCAGCCACACUGGGACUGAGACACGGCCCAGACUCCUACGGGAGGCAGCAGUGGGGAAUAUUGGACAAUGGGCGAAAGCCUGAUCCAGCAAUGCCGCGUGAGUGAUGAAGGCCUUAGGGUUGUAAAGCUCUUUUACCCGGGAUGAUAAUGACAGUACCGGGAGAAUAAGCGACGGCUAACCCCGUG
rnacentral:rRNA from 1 species